rnacentral:lncRNA from 1 species
AGUAAUGUAUUGAAACAAAUGAACUCAUAUUCGUUUCUUCAUGAUACUCAACACUUCUAUCGCUUCUGUUGACUAAGUAAGGUUCUUUUUAUUAGUCUUCAUGCACACUUUGCCUCCUAACCUCUAUUUUUUCGAUCUCUAACCACACAACCUGUCAUCUACCACUGAAUAAUGCAUCCCGAAACCUUUCUGAUUAACAACUGCCACAGCUCCUUCUCGUUCAUAGAGUUGGGGAAAUUAGAAAAAUGAAAAGUAUAACAAAAUAUGAUCCAUUGAUUUACACGAUCUACUAAACUUCCUUCCUUCUCUUAAUUGAUCGAUCUUUGUAGAAGAAAUUUGCCAUCCUCCCUCCUGGUUGCACUGUUUCUUACCUGAUUGAAAUCUUUUCAUAAAGAUUCCCCUGUUAUUGGAUUGAAGAAAGCUCACUCAUACUCCUAAUAACACCUAUCAAAUUCCCCUGAAGCAAUCUGGUAAGCCUCCUGAUGAAACAUGAAACUUCUGUAUAUAUAACUUCCUCUUUCCAACAGAAUUAGCCAUAGAAACACAGUAGUCCUACGUAUUGGGUACAGAAACGAUUGAAAUAAUAUUAAAACUGGAAUUNNNNNNNNNNNNNNNNNNNUAAUAGGAGACACUGAAAAUGGUGUGCUAUAAUAAACAAAUCAAUGAAACACGUUGCUAUUUCUUGCAUUUAAACCUUAAGAGUCAGUCAAAGAUGGUAUUCAUGAGCAUUCAAACCUUGAAAAUGAAUCAAAGCACGCAUAUAGGCACACAAGUCCCUGGUCUAUUGCAUAGAAUCUGUGAAAAGAAUUUAGCAUGCUCUUCAAAGUUAUUGAAACAAAGAAACAAACAAGACUAAAUUACAAAAAUCGUCUCUAUGUUAUAUUACUUUUUAUGCGUAUGGUCAAGUCGAUGGAUUUAAUGGACGGGCAACCAGGGACUAAAAGUGUGACCAAAUGUUGGUUUAGGGAUGGAAAAGGUAAAUGAUGAAACUAUCAGACCAUAUCGAUCGCAUUUUCAACUUAUUUUGUUAUUAGGACAUAAUACUUUGAAGAAUCUAUCCAAUUAUAAUAGUGAAACUUGCAUUGUAUCGGGAUGAUAUUGCUACAAUUAAUAGGUUUUCAAAGUAUAUUGCGGUAAUACGCAUGAAUGAAAUUAGGAUGCUAUUAGAAAACAGAUCAAAAUUUUGUUUCUUAGAUUUAGCCCUAAUUAGUAAAAUGAAAAACUUGAAUUGUUUGAGAUAUAAACAAGAUACAAAUUACACAUACUCGACAUUUUAAAAUGAACAGGUUACAACACAUUAAAUAACAAUGUGAUAUGCAUUUAUACCACUUAUCAAUUGGUGAGUCCUCAAAGACACAUUCUUUCUGAACAUCAAUGCUAUAACUAACUGUUACAUUUUUCAAAGUAAAAUGCCCUAAGAAAGAAACGGAAGUACCUUGCUAUCAUCAUAAAACCAAAGUCAUUUGAAGUUGCUAAAAGGUUUGGUAUGUAUAAAUAGUCCCGUGCUUCAUUAGAAGAAUUGGAACUUACCAGUGGAUUUACAAGAAGGAAUUGAGAUUAUAGAAAACAUUACAUAAAUAGUCCCAUGCAUCAUUGGAAGUCAUAUAUAGGUUAAAUCAUUAACUUUUUUCCUUGAUGAAAAUGGUCUUUGUGGUUUCAAUUCCUUACAUGGUUUGUUUCUAAUCCAUAUAAAAUGAUAUCUAUAUAUACCAUUUUAAUAGAUUUAUCUUUUUUUUUUUACUUAAUUUUAUUUUUUAAUAUGUUAACAUUGAGGGACCCACCAUACCAAACAGUUCACACACCUAUGUUCACCAGAAAGAUUACCAAAGUUAUAUUCAAGCUUAGAAAAUUACAAGAAAUUAAGGUUGUAUACAACAGUAAGAAUAAAAAAAAAAACUCCAACAAGAAAGAAACUAUCUCUUUUCUGAUCAUUUUGAGGUCUCUAAAAAUCUGAAAGCUGCAUAACUUUCAGAUUAUUGGGUUCAUCGGUAACAGAAUAUCUAAAAUUUGUUGUAGAAUAAUUUGUAUCACAAUAAAAGUGGUGCAUCAAGUUGCAGGUAUAAUUAUCUUAUUCCACUUACUAAAAGCAUGGAAAUGGAAUAUUUGGUUUAUAAAAAGAGUCCCAGAAGAAUAUACUAUAUAGCUCAGAUAAAAAUCUCCCCAAUCACCUGGAUAGACAAUACCAUAUGAACCAAUGUAAAAAACAGCAUAAGCAUUUCAUCAAAUACCUUGACUACGUGAUGUAAGAUGACCACAUUCGCCAAAAAAACACAAUGAAAGAAGGAAAAUUUUAGGAACAUAAUCAAGUAUAACAUUCUAAAGAUUGAGAACUGAAUUAAAAAAACAUCAUCAUAAUAAUAAUAAUGAAAUAAACCAAAACAAAGACAAUGUAACUUGAAAGAUUUAUAUAAAGCUCUGUUAUAUCUACUGACGGAAUAAGAAAUUGAGGAGGAGGAUGAUGGAAGUACAAGAUCUAACCAUGACAAAUGAACAAUGAGCGUUGGUUUGGAGAUGUUUCUGUCUAAUUUCCAAUACGGGUGAUUUUAAGAAGGCCUUCGAACACCUCACAUUAUUUCUUAUUCAAAUUUUGAUCCGGAAUGUCUAAUAAAGAUACCAUGGAAAGAUGAUCCGUUAGAAACAAUAAAUGUGGCUCUCGGAGCAGCGCGGUGGAGCAACUGAGCGCAAUAUGAAGCAUUGCCCUCGACCACUACCAGAAGUCAGGAAUUGAGUUUGAUUGUGCUUCUAGCCCUUGAACAUCGCUAUCUGAAAUUGGGAAUUGGGGACGAAUUUCAGGGAGAAAUUAGAAUUGAAGCAACGUCAGAAUGUGGGAUCGUGGAAAAAUAUACUUCACCUGUGUGAGAGCGAGGCGAGAGUGUUGCCGAUUCAACAAUGUUGUAACAUGAUAUUCAUUAUUUAGUAGGUUUGGUUCACGAUUAUUUUGGAUGGAAUUUGAAUUUG